ACCACCCGUUGACAACCUUCUGCUUGAAACUUAUCUUUUUAACGCUGUAUCAAUGUUUCCCUAAUAUUAUAUUUAUAAAAUUGCUUCUCAAGUUGGUAUAAAAUUUAAAACUAGAAAAACGAAAUAACUUUAAAGAAAAAUUAUCCAUUUUAAUAACCUAUAUUAUUUAAUUACAAUCGCAACUUUAAAGCACUAUAACUUUUGAACCACACGCUUCCGCUCAAAAAUUUUUACAUAUUCUUAAUCAGCAUAAAAAAACGAACGUUUUGAAAAAAAAAAUUUUGAAAAAAAAAGGGUGUCCCGUAAAGUAGAUUUAUACCAAUUUUUUUUUAAUACUAUCUUUAGUUACACAUUAUUCUUGAAUUAUUAACUAUGUAAUACUUUUUAAAUUCAUCCCUUAUGCCUUGUAAGGUUUCAGCCAAACAGAGGGCCUACUAAUUACCCACUGCCCAGGGGGAACACUGGACAGUGACCUAGUAGCCGCGACAAACAAGAUAUUACUUGCUGACGGAGCUACUAGGUUUUGAUAAAAACAAAAAAACCAAUAUUAAUGAAAAUGAGGGAAAAGUAUAGAGAAAAAAAAGAGGCCAUGUAUAAUAUAACAACAUUUUUUUAAUUAUUUAGUUAAAAAAAUGUAUAAUUACUAUUUAAGAUAUAGAUAUAGUCAUAGGAAAGAAGAAAGAAAAAAGAAAAGGAGGUGCUUGAUACACAAAUUAAAAGGGGGUAAAAGGGGUUUCUUGAUGUUGUACUUGUUUGUUGAUUGAAGGGUGACGGCCCACCACCGGCCAUGGCUACGCCUCACAUCCCCAUCAUCAUCAUCUCGACAUUUAUUUUAAUAAAAAAAAAAAACGGAGGACAAAAAAAAUUACAGCCUGGUUGACUCCAAAGUAGACAGCAGGUCGACUCGACGUUUAUUUUAUAAAAAAAAAAACGGAGGACAAAAAAAAAUGCAAAAACGUGGUUUUUUUCAGAAACACAGCGGACAACUUGUCGCCUCUGCAGUACAGGUGGAAAAAAAAAAAUGUUGUAGCGGCAGUUGUGUAGUGGCCGGUGAUCGUGA